UACACUCCUACGGGAGGCAGCAGUGGGGAAUUUUGGACAAUGGGCGAAAGCCUGAUCCAGCAAUGCCGCGUGAGUGAAGAAGGCCUUCGGGUUGUAAAGCUCUUUUGUCAGGGAAGAAACGGUGAAAGCUAAUAUCUUUUGCUAAUGACGGUACCUGAAGAAUAAGCACCGGCUAACUACGUGCCAGCAGCCGCGGUAAUACGUAGGGUGCAAGCGUUAAUCGGAAUUACUGGGCGUAAAGCGUGCGCAGGCGGUUUUGUAAGUCUGAUGUGAAAUCCCCGGGCUCAACCUGGGAAUUGCAUUGGAGACUGCAAGGCUAGAAUCUGGCAGAGGGGGGUAGAAUUCCACGUGUAGUAGUGAAAUGCGUAGAUAUGUGGAGGAACACCGAUGGCGAAGGCAGCCCCCUGGGUCAAGAUUGACGCUCAUGCACGAAAGCGUGGGGAGCAAACAGGAUUAGAAACCCCGGUAGUCCCAUG
rnacentral:rRNA from 1 species